CUCUAUGAGACAAAAGACAGAAUCAGAGUCUGUUUUUAAAAGAGAUAGUUGAGAUUGAAAUGACUGGCUCUGUGGACACUUGCAAAGUGAAAAAGGAAAACCUUACGAAAUACAGUCCAGAGUCAGAUAAAUCCACUCUCUUGAUUUUAAGAAAGACAGUAGAGAUGUUGGAGCUCAUCUCAAAUCCAUUUUGAAAUCCAUCACAGAAGGAAGCAUUGCUAUCAUAUGGAUUCAUAGAGGAGACACA